rnacentral:rRNA from 1 species
UACGGAGGAUCCGAGCGUUAUCCGGAUUUAUUGGGUUUAAAGGGUGCGUAGGCGGAUUUGUAAGUCAGUGGUGAAAUCCUGCAGCUUAACUGUAGAACUGCCAUUGAUACUGCAAGUCUUGAGUACAUAUGAUGUGGGCGGAAUGUGUAGUGUAGCGGUGAAAUGCUUAGAUAUUACACAGAACACCAAUUGCGAAGGCAGCUCACAAAACUGUAACUGACGCUGAGGCACGAAAGCGUGGGGAGUGAACAGGAUUAGAUACCCUGGUAAUCCACGCCUUAAACGAUGAUUACUCGAUGUGUGCGAUACACAGCACGCGUCCUAGCGAAAGCGUUAAGUAAUCCACCUGGGGAGUACGAUCGCAAGGUUG